rnacentral:lncRNA from 1 species
GUUGGAUUAGCACAGUUCUCUCCAAAAGUCAGCACACAGGAUGAAAGAACUCCUAGGAUAUGUCAUCCGAGGUGGCAGGGAAGUGGGAAGGCGAGAGAAGAGGAAAAAAGAGGGAAAGCUAAGCUUUUUUUGGGGUGACAUGUUGUAUGUGCCUUCUUGGCCUGUGAGAUCAGGGAUCUAUGCUCACUGCUUGCUGCUCCUAGAAGAUGAUGCUCUUCAAAGCAAACCCUUUUGUGACAAAACAUUCAUUUUUACAGCAAAUUUAGCUUUUCUCAGGGUCUUCCAAAGUUUUAGCGUGAUUCUAUUCCUCUUCCCAAAGCUUAGCAAAAGCCAGUAAAGUUUAGAAUGCUGGAAAACUAAGGACUGCUGCUUUCUGUAGGAGUGUAAAUGUUACUUGUGCAGUGCAGGUGCUGUAACAUAACAGGAUUUGUUUGUGUUUCCUUGGCACAAUGAGAUGUGAACAACCACCACUGUGAGAAGUGAGAUUAUUUUCCUGGUGGCAACAUCAACGCUAGAAGAUUUUGUUCCCUACGUAUUUCAUGGCCCCCUGCUCUCAGAUUCAGAUUCCUUCACUGCCCUAUAGCUG